rnacentral:rRNA from 1 species
GAAGAGGAAAGUGGAAUUCCAAGUGUAGCGGUGAAAUGCGUAGAGAUUUGGAGGAACACCAGUGGCGAAGGCGACUUUCUGGUCUGUAACUGACACUGAGGCGCGAAAGCGUGGGGAGGCAAACAAGGAGUUAGUAUACCUCGGUAGGUCCACGCCGUAAACGAAUGAGUGCUAAGUAGUUAGUAGGGUUUCCGGUCCCUUACGUUGCUGCAGCUAACGACAUUAAGUACACUCCGCCCUCGGGUGGGGAAGUUACCGGGUCACAAAGCUAAGAAACCUCGAAAAGGUAUUGGGACCGGGCCNCAACAGGCGGUGGAGUAUGGUUAGUUUAUCGUAUGACAACGCGAAACGUACCUACGAGUACUGACUAUGUCCGAGAACUCCAGGUAGAAACCAGAGGAGUCGUCCGUUGGGACGCGCGACGUUCGGUGGGAGACGAAGGCAACACGGAGGGUAGAGG